rnacentral:rRNA from 1 species
CAGAGGUCCCAAGCGUUGUUCGGAUUCACUGGGCGUAAAGGGUGCGUAGGUGGCCGGGUAAGUCUGAUGUGAAAUCUCCGAGCUUAACUCGGAAAUGGCAUUGGAUACUCUCCGGCUAGAGGAUUGGAGGGGAGACUGGAAUUCUCGGUGUAGCAGUGAAAUGCGUAGAUAUCGAGAGGAACACCAGUGGCGAAGGCGAGUCUCUAGACAAUUCCUGACACUGAGGCACGAAAGCUAGGGGAGCAAACAGGAUUAGAUACCCUGGUAGUCCUAGCCGUAAACGGUGCAUAUUUGCUGUAAAAGGAAUCGACCCCUUUUGUGGCGUAGCUAACGCGUUAAAUAUGCCGCCUGGGAAGUACGGUCGCAAGAUUAA